AAAGCUAAAAAGCUGAGGUAUCCUUAAAAAAAAAAAAAAAAAAAAAAGGCUGUUUUCCCUGGUCGAGGCUCAUCCAUUGCACUUCGGGUGGGCUGAAGCCUGCGAUCACCCCAAAUGUGGGUGACUCGGGUGCGUAAUUUUUGCGUAUGGGGGACUGCGUUCGCGCUAUCCCCUG
rnacentral:snRNA from 1 species